GACAGAGGGUGCAACCGUUGUUCGGAAUUACUGGGCGUAAAGCGCGUGCAGGCGGCCCUGCAAGUCGGGUGUGAAAUCCCACGGCUCAACCGUGGAAGUGCACUCGAAACUGCAGGGCUAGAGUCCUGGAGAGGAAGGUGGAAUGCUUGGUGUAGAGGUGAAAUUCGUAGAUAUCAAGCGGAACACCGGUGGCGAAGGCGGCCUUCUGGACAGUGACUGACGCUGAGACGCGAAAGCGUGGGGAGCAAACAGG
rnacentral:rRNA from 1 species